UGUUGUGGAUGAUGAGACAUUGAAUUUUUACAGUUAUCCCUGUCUGAUGAAGAUCAGGUGAUGAAAUCAUGUAAAUCUGACACAACC
rfam:Punica granatum cultivar Dabenzi scaffold525, whole genome shotgun sequence.